rnacentral:rRNA from 1 species
CACGGCGCACGGGUGCGUAACACGUGGGCAAUCUGCCCUCCGAUGGGGAAUAACCCCGCGAAAGCGGGGCUAAUUCCGCAUAACAUUCCCUGGACUCUGGUUCGGGGAUUCAAAGCAGCAAUGCGUCGGAGGAGGAGCCCGCGCCCGAUUAGCUAGUUGGUGAGGUAACGGCUCACCAAGGCAAUGAUCGGUAGCUGGUCUGAGAGGAUGGCCAGCCACACUGGAACUGAGACACGGUCCAGACUCCUACGGGAGGCAGCAGUGGGGAAUCUUGCGCAAUGGGCGAAAGCCUGACGCAGCGACGCCGCGUGGGGGAUGAAGCUUUUCGGAGUGUAAACCCCUUUCGACCGGGACGAAUGCCCGCAAGGGAGUGACGGUACCGGUAGAAGAAGCCCCGGCUAACUACGUGCCAGCAGCCGCGGUAAGACGUAGGGGGCCAGCGUUGUUCGGAAUUACUGGGUGUAAAGGGUUCGUAGGCGGUGUGGCAAGUCGGGAGUGAAAUUUCUGGGCUUAACUCAGAGGCUGCUUCCGAAACUGCUGUGCUCGAGUGUGGGAGAGGCGCGUGGAAUUGCAGGUGUAGCGGUGAAAUGCGUAGAUAUCUGCAGGAACACCCGUGGCGAAAGCGGCGCGCUGGACCACUAC